rnacentral:rRNA from 1 species
UGACGACGACACGCUAAGGCGUUGAAGCAGUGUACGUCAGACUUCCAAGAAAAGCUCGCAAUGUCAUAAAUAAGAAAUGCCUGUACCAUAACCGACACAGGUGGGUAGGUAGAGUAUACUAAGGGGCGCGAGAUAACUCUCUCUAAGGAACUCGGCAAAAUGACUCCGUAACUUCGGGAGAAGGAGUGCCUUAUUUAUAAGGUUGCAAUAACAAGAUCCAAGCAACUGUUUAUCAAAAACACAGGUCUCCGCUAAGUCGUAAGACGAUGUAUGGGGGCUGACGCCUGCCCAGUGCCAGAAGGUUAAAGAAGUUGGUUAGUGUAUGCGAAGCUGAUGACUGAAGCCCUGGUGAACGGCGGCCGUAACAAUAACGGUCCUAAGGUAGCGAAAUUCCUUGUCGGGUAAGUUCCGACCCGCACGAAAGGCGUAAUGAUUUGGAUACUGUCUCGGAGAGAGGCUCGGUGAAAUAGACUUGUCUGUGAAGAUGCGGACUACCUGCACCAGGACAGAAAGACCCUAUGAAGCUUUACUGUAACUUGAAAUUGGAAUUGGACUUUGCUUGCGCAGUAUAGGUGGGAAGCGUUGAAGAUAUUCUUGCGGGAGUAUUGGAGCUAUCAGUGAGAUACCACUCUUGUAAUGUUAGAUUUCUAACUUUGAACCAUAAUCUGGUCAAAGAACAGUUUCAGGUGGGCAGUUUGACUGGGGCGGUCGCCUCCCAAAUGGUAACGGAGGCGUACAAAGGUUUCCUCUGAACGGAUAGAAAUCGUAUCUAGAGUGUAAAGGCAUAAGGAAGCUUGACUGUGAGACCUACAAGUCGAGCAGGGACGAAAGUCGGUCUUAGUGAUCUGACGGUACUGAGUGGAAAGGCCGUCACUCAACGGAUAAAAGUUACUCUAGGGAUAACAGGCUGAUCUCCCCCAAGAGUUCACAUCGACGGGGAGGUUUGGCACCUCGAUGUCGGCUCAUCGCAUCCUGGGGCGGUAGUACGUCCCAAGGGUUGGGCUGUUCGCCCAUGAAAGCGGUACGCGAGCUGGGUUCAGAACGUCGUGAGACAGUUCGGUCCAUAUCCGGUGUAGGCGUUAGAAUAUUGAGAGGAGCCUUCUUUAGUACGAGAGGACCGAGAAGGACACACCGCUGGUGUACCAGUUAUCGUGCCAACGGUAAACGCUGGGUAGCUAUGUGUGGAGUGGAUAACCGCUGAAAGCAUCUAAGUGGGAAGCCCACCUCAAGAUGAGUAUUCUCA